rnacentral:tRNA from 1 species
GGGGCCAUAGCCAAACGGUCAAGGCAGGAAGCUUCUACUUCUGAUUAAUGGUUCGAAUCCAUUUGGCCUCUCCA